rnacentral:rRNA from 1 species
AUUGAACGCUGGCGGCAUGCCUUACACAUGCAAGUCGAACGGCAGCACGGGAGCAAUCCUGGUGGCGAGUGGCGAACGGGUGAGUAAUGUAUCGGAACGUGCCCAGUCGUGGGGGAUAACGCAGCGAAAGCUGUGCUAAUACCGCAUACGAUCUAUGGAUGAAAGCGGGGGAUCGCAAGACCUCGCGCGAUUGGAGUGGCCGAUAUCAGAUUAGCUAGUUGGUGGGGUAAAAGCUUACCAAGGCGACGAUCUGUAGCUGGUCUGAGAGGACGACCAGCCACACUGGAACUGAGACACGGUCCAGACUCCUACGGGAGGCAGCAGUGGGGAAUUUUGGACAAUGGGCGCAAGCCUGAUCCAGCAAUGCCGCGUGCAGGAUGAAGGCCUUCGGGUUGUAAACUGCUUUUGUACGGAGCGAAAAGGCUCUCUCUAAUACAGGGGGCUCAUGACGGUACCGUAAGAAUAAGCACCGGCUAACUACGUGCCAGCAGCCGCGGUAAUAC